rnacentral:rRNA from 1 species
AUGCACGCUGGCGGCGUGCCUAAUACAUGCCAGUCGAGCGAACAGACGAGGAGCUUGCUCCUCUGACGUUAGCGGCGGACGGGUGAGUAACACGUGGAUAACCUACCUAUAAGACUGGGAUAACUUCGGGAAACCGGAGCUAAUACCGGAUAAUAUAUUGAACCGCAUGGUUCAAUAGUGAAAGACGGUUUUGCUGUCACUUAUAGAUGGAUCCGCGCCGCAUUAGCUAGUUGGUAAGGUAACGGCUUACCAAGGCGACGAUGCGUAGCCGACCUGAGAGGGUGAUCGGCCACACUGGAACUGAGACACGGUCCAGACUCCUACGGGAGGCAGCAGUAGGGAAUCUUCCGCAAUGGGCGAAAGCCUGACGGAGCAACGCCGCGUGAGUGAUGAAGGUCUUCGGAUCGUAAAACUCUGUUAUUAGGGAAGAACAAAUGUGUAAGUAACUAUGCACGUCUUGACGGUACCUAAUCAGAAAGCCACGGCUAACUACGUG